rnacentral:rRNA from 1 species
UACGUAGGGUGCAAGCGUUAAUCGGAAUUACUGGGCGUAAAGCGUGCGCAGGCGGUUUUGUAAGUCUGUCGUGAAAUCCCCGGGCUCAACCUGGGAAUUGCGAUGGAGACUGCAAGGCUAGAAUCUGGGCAGAGGGGGGGUAGAAUUCCACGUGUAGCAGUGAAAAUGCGUAGAGAUCGGGGAGGAACAUCUGUGGCGAAGGCGACUACCUGGACCAGCACUGACACUGAGGCACGAAA